AGACAGCAGCAGCCGCGGGAAUACGGAGGGUGCAAGCGUUAAUCGGAAUUACUGGGCGUAAAGCGCACGCAGGCGGUCUGACAAGUCAGAUGUGAAAUCCCCGGGCUUAACCUGGGAACUGCAUUUGAAACUGUCAGGCUGGAGUCUUGUAGAGGGGGGUGGAAUUCCAGGUGUAGCGGUGAAAUGCGUAGAGAUCUGGAGGAAUACCGGUGGCGAAGGCGGCCCCCUGGACAAAGACUGACGCUCAGGUGCGAAAGCGUGGGGAGCAAACAGGAUUAGAUACCCGUGUAGUCCCUGUCUCUUAUAC
rnacentral:rRNA from 1 species